GGAUGUUGGAGGCCAUUAUGGCCUUGUAUUCAGCUCCAACUACUUGGGUGGGGGCUUCAGCUCUGACUGGUUCAAUCUGGCAAAUGUAACCAGGCAGGAUUGCCCGCUCUCCCUGAUGCUAUAUAUAAUGUCACUGGAACCACUGGCUUCUCAGAUUAUAAUAGGUUUAAAUGUUUCAGAACAAAUUCCGGUGAACUGAAACUGAACCUUUAUGCAAAUUAUGUGAUAAUGACCUUAGAAGAUCC